rnacentral:rRNA from 1 species
UACGAAGGGGGCUAGCGUUACUCGGAUUGACUGGGCGUAAAGGGCGCGUAGGCGGCUUGUACAGUCAGACGUGAAAUUCCUGGGCUCAACCUGGGGGCUGCGUUUGAUACGUGCGGGCUUGAGUUCGGAAGAGGGUCGUGGAAUUCCCAGUGUAGAGGUGAAAAUUCGUAGAUAUUGGGAAGAACACCGGGUGGCGAAGGCGGCGUUCUGGACUGCAACUGACACUGAGGGAACGAAAGCCAGGGGAGCAAACGGG